GCGGCAGGCUUAACACAUGCAAGUCGAGCGAGAUGAGUUUUGAAGCUUGCUUUAGAACUCGGACAGCGGCGAAAGGGAGAGUAACGCGUAGUUAUGUGCCCUAGGGUCCGGAAUAGCCACGGGAAACUGUGGGUAAUGCCGGAUAACAUCCCCGGAUCAAAGGUGUGAUUCCGCCCUAGGAGCAGACUGCGUCCUACUAGCUAGUUGGUGGGGUAAUGGCCCACCAAGGCAAUGAUGGGUAGCGGGUGUGAGAGCAUGACCCGUCUCACUGGGACUGAGACACUUCCCAGACACCUACGGGUGGCUGCAGUCGAGAAUCUUCGGCAAUGGGCGAAAGCCUGACCGAGCGAUGCCGCGUGCGGGAUGAAGGCCCUCGGGUUGUAAACCGCUGUCGUAGGGGAGGAAGGUUCCGUGAAGAGCGGAAUUUGACCUAUCCUAGGAGGAAGUACGGGCUAAGUUCGUGCCAGCCGCCGCAGUAAUAC
rnacentral:rRNA from 1 species